rnacentral:rRNA from 1 species
GACGAACGCUGGCGGCGUGCUUAACACAUGCAAGUCGAACGAAGAGCGACGGAAGCUUGCUUCUAUCAAUCUUAGUGGCGAACGGGUGAGUAACGCGUAAUCAACCUGCCCUUCAGAGGGGGACAACAGCUGGAAACGACUGCUAAUACCGCAUACGAUCUAACCUCGGCAUCGAGGAUAGAUGAAAGGCGGCCUCUACAUGUAAGCUAUCACUGAAGGAGGGGAUUGCGUCUGAUUAGCUAGUUGGAGGGGUAACGGCCCACCAAGGCGAUGAUCAGUAGCCGGUCUGAGAGGAUGAACGGCCACAUUGGGACUGAGACACGGCCCAGACUCCUACGGGAGGCAGCAGUGGGGAAUCUUCCGCAAUGGACGAAAGUCUGACGGAGCAACGCCGCGUGAGUGAUGACGGCCUUCGGGUUGUAAAGCUCUGUUAAUCGGGACGAAAGGCCUUCUUGCGAAUAGUGAGAAGGAUUGACGGUACCGGAAUAGAAAGCCACGGCUAACUACGUG